rnacentral:rRNA from 1 species
UGGGGAAUUUUGGACAAUGGGCGAAAGCCUGAUCCAGCAAUGCCGCGUGUGUGAAGAAGGCCUUCGGGUUGUAAAGCACUUUUGUCCGGAAAGAAAUCCUUGGCUCUAAUACAGUCGGGGGAUGACGGUACCGGAAGAAUAAGCACCGGCUAACUACGUGCCAGCAGCCGCGGUAAUACGUAGGGUGCAAGCGUUAAUCGGAAUUACUGGGCGUAAAGCGUGCGCAGGCGGUUUGCUAAGACCGAUGUGAAAUCCCCGGGCUCAACCUGGGAACUGCAUUGGUGACUGGCAGGCUAGAGUAUGGCAGAGGGGGGUAGAAUUCCACGUGUAGCAGUGAAAUGCGUAGAGAUGUGGAGGAAUACCGAUGGCGAAGGCAGCCCCCUGGGCCAAUACUGACGCUCAUGCACGAAAGCGUGGGGAGCAAACAGGAUUAGAUACCCUGGUAGUCCACGCCCUAAACGAUGUCAACUAGUUGUUGGGGAUUCAUUCCUUAGUAACGUAGCUAACGCGUGAAGUUGACCGCCUGGGGAGUACGGUCGCAAGAUUAAAACUCAAAGGAAUUG